rnacentral:misc_RNA from 1 species
UCCGGGUUGGACCCGGCGGUCCCGCCAGACAUGGUAACUGGCAGCGAGGGUUGCGCUCGUUGCGGGACUUAACCCAACACCUCACGGCACGAGCUGACGACAGCCAUGCAGCACCUCGACUGGACCUCCUUGCGGAGUAAAGGUGUUUCCACCCUCGUUGAUCAGCCGUUCGAGCCCAGGUAAGGUUCUUCGCGUUGCGUCGAAUUGAACCACAUGCUCCACCGCUUGUGCGGGCCCCCGUCAAUUCCUUUGAGUUUCAGCCUUGCGACUGUACUCCCCAGGCGGCAUAUUUAACGCGUUAGCUCCGGCACAGAUCAACUGAAUGACCUACACCAAAUAUGCAUCGUUUAGGGCGUGGACUAC